rnacentral:rRNA from 1 species
UACAGAGGUGGCAAGCGUUGUUCGGAUUCAUUGGGCGUAAAGGGUGCGUAGGUGGUUUGGUAAGUUGGAUGUGAAAUGCCACAGCUCAACUGGGGAAUUGCAUCCAAAACUACCUUACUUGAGGAUCUCGGGAAGAGAAUGGAAUUCUCGGUGUAGCGGUGAAAUGCGUAGAUAUCGAGAAGAACACCUGUGGCGAAGGCGGUUCUCUACCAUAUUCCUGACACUAAAGCACGAAAGCGCGGGGAGCAAACGGG